rnacentral:rRNA from 1 species
AUUCCAGCUCCAAUAGCGUAUAUUUAAGUUGCUGCAGUUAAAAAGCUCGUAGUUGGAUUUCGGGCGGUUGACGACGGUCCGCCUCUGGUGUGCACUGCCGUUCUUCCGCCUUUCUGUCGGGGACGUGCUCCUAGGCUUCAUUGUCUGGGACACGGGUUCGACGUGGUUACUUUGAGUAAAUUAGAGUGUUCAAAGCAGGCAUCGCCUUGAAUAUAUUAGCAUGGAAUAGCACGAUAGGACUCUGACCUAUUUUGCUGGUCUGUAGGACCGGAGUAAUGAUUAAGAGGGACAGUCGGGGGCAUUCGUAUUUCAUUGUCAGAGGUGAAAUUCUUGGAUUUAUGAAAGACGAACUUCUGCGAAAGCAUUUGCCAAGGAUGUUUUCAUCA